AUGUCCCUAUGAUGUCAGCACUGGGCUCUGAAAUACAUGAACGAUAACUGUGCCCUUCUGUGACUUGACACACAGUGGGACUGAGGGACAG